GGCCGCGUGGCCUAAUGGUUAAGGCGCUGGUUUUCGGCGACGCUUGCUGUAAUAAGUAAGCCUCAGCUCACCAGAGACUUGUGUGUUCGAAUCACACCGUGGUCG
rfam:Arthroderma gypseum CBS 118893 supercont1.3 genomic scaffold, whole genome shotgun sequence.